UCCCCCCUUGGGGUUUAAGUGCAAUCACAAACAACUAGCCAAGCAGGCAUUAUGUCAGGCCCUGCCCUUGUAAGCAGUGUAACAUGUAACAUAACAUGAAAUGUAAAAUACAUAAAAUAUAAAAUAAAAUAUUUCUGUAAACAUGAAAUAUUAAUAACAAUAACAGGUUGUUCUGAUAAAGUGCCAACAUAACAUUCAACAAAGCAUCCAUCAGCAUAAAUCAGUGCAUGAGAACAUAAGGUGCUUUUUUAAGUUGGAACAUAAGUAAGUAAGAACAUCUUUAAGAACAUAAGUAAGUAAGAACAUCUUUAAGAACAUAAGUAAGUAAGAACAUCUUUAAGAACAUAAGUAAGAAGGACUUCUUUAAACAUUUUUAGCCAGGAAGACAAGCCUGUCUACGACCUCUGGCUUUAGACAUGCCCGGUGGCAUGUAUAUUAAUGAAGCCUGGCUUUUCCACCGUAUACAUCGGCACCAUAUCCUUUGCUAUAUACAUAGCAAUCGCAUCAGUAAUGGCUUUCCAGCGGGGCGAAUUCUUCUCAUAUGGGAUGCAGUUGGCAAAGGUUUGUGUGAGGGUUGUCUGUAUUUUACUAGCUGUGCGUGUGGUGCUUGUGGUGCCGCGGUCUCUCUCAUUCCGCUGCGCGCAACAUUUCUCCCAUUCGCCGGGAUGUUUUUGCCUGAGGUGCUGCAGUAAAUUUGUCAUACUGCUGCCUUUGCUAGCAACAGACUUCAAACAGACUUUGCAGCGGGGGGUUGUCUGCUCUAAAUCUGACCUUUCGAACGCGAACCAAUUCCAAAUGACGGAUGACACCGUGCCUUUCUUAGGAACAUAUUCUUCCCUACUCGCUGCCAUGUUCGCGUAUCACUUUGGUAAAUGCGCGCUCUGUGCGGGGGGAGGGGUGAGCUCAUUCCGAACUACGGGAGCUGAGAGGGCGUUCGCGGAUGUUGAAGAGAAAACCGAUUUUCAUUUAAACAAGUCGACGUGAGCUACACACUCGAGUUAAUCGAUAAAAUCGGUUUAUCGCCCAGCCCUAGUGGGGGAUAGGGAGAGUCUUUACAGGAGUUUUCAUUAAUCGAGGACGGCUGGCGAGUCCACGGUGAACGGUGAUCACAUGGCAGGUUCGUGAGUGUUGUGCUGUCCACGCUCUCUUAUUCAUUACCAGCCCUCGUUUGGGGAAAUGUGUCCUUGUAUCCUUGUAUGCAUGACAGUAGCACAAACAUGAAUAACAUUGCUGCUUUUGGUGUUCAGGCAAGCACAUCUGUUCACGGUGCUAGGCUACAUCACGUAGCAUGCCAGACUGACCCACCAAAGAUGCGCACACAUGGAACGCAGCCUUCUAUGAAAACACUGCGACCUCACUACAAAAGUACAGGCACACAGAAAACUGUGCUGCACUGAUGUUGGUGUUGGGACCUCAGCUGUAAGAGACCUUGCUUGGAGGAGGGAGAGGACAAGAUGUGACAUUACGUGGAUUACCUGUUGGACCUCAUCUUUCACGAGGUUUUUCAGGACCCGGCCCCAUAUGUGAAUGAGGUGCUGAAGAUCUCAAAACCUGAGGAUCUCUCUGCCUAGUAUGAGAAACCUGACAAGCAGGAAGUUAUAGCCAGCUAUGUGUCGAGUUUCAAUCAAGGGCAGGUCUGAACCCUGUAUAACUUCCCUGAGCAUCAGGGAACACUCUGCGUAUCUGGAGCACCGAGCAGGAGGGCAGGACCACCCUGAUUCUCUGGCCCAGAGGGCCUCAACACCAGCUCACAAAGCUUCUGUACGCCAAAUACCUGUAACGGCUGAGCAAAGUUCACAUUGUAUUUAGAGAAUAAAAGGUAACACACAAAUAUAAAGUGUUCCUUUGUUUACAGUAUAGCUACUGAUGGCAAAAAUUGUAUUUUUGUAAUGAAUGUAUUUAUUAUACUUGGUAUUUUUUGUAUUUAUUACCUCUGUCCCAACCAGUACAUUUAAUAACUAUGUUUAAAAAGCUCUGUGGCCUUCUUUCUAGCAAUCUUUCUGACAAUAAAAGUUUAUAGAAACA